rnacentral:lncRNA from 1 species
CAGGUACAGGAAAAACCAGCCACCGAGGAGAGCGAGGAGGACGAGGAGAGAGAAAGGAUGAGAGAGAAGGGAAAGAGCGAGUACGCCUGCGAGUAAGGAAAUAUAAUUCACGCGGAAGUAGGAGAAGUUCUUGCGGACACGCGAGGCAGCCUCAGCGACGGAGUCAGGGCGGGCGAAGGAUGUGCGAUCGAGAAGUUCAUACCAAGGGCGGCGUUGAGCGAAACCCUGACGGAUCGAAGAUGAGAGGCGGGAGAUGAAGGAGCGAAAUGCGGGAGUGGCAAUAGGGGGCUGAGAUUGGGCACCGGAAGCCGCCGUUGAUUGAGGACUUGAGAUCGGAAGUGUCGCCGGAGAAGCCAUUGGUUAUUCUUCUCCCUUCUCUCGUUUGUUUGGUUUGAUUUGAUUUGAUUGGGAAGGGUGCAGAGAGAGGGAGAGUGCAAUGGGGAAAUUUUGGACAAGAAUAAUAAUAGGUAACGCUUCCAAGGGCU